rnacentral:lncRNA from 1 species
UCCAGGAUGAGGGCUACUGCAACAACAGCCAGUAGUGAGUCAAAGGAUGAUAUCCUAGAGAUAUCUGAUGAGGUAUCUACUUCUUUUCAGUCAUAAAUUUUAGAUUCUGCAUGCACCUAUCACUAAUGUUGCAGAGAGGAGUAGUUUGACUUCCUGGAGAGCAGUGAGGGCAUUGUUUAUCUGCUAGAUAGAUUGAGCUAUGCAAUCAGAGGCAUCGAGAUGGUCAGCUGGAGGACACAUGAUGGUGUAGUGAGGAGAUUGGAGAAGAUCCGAUACAUAUCUG